GAGACAUGAGAUCAACAGACAAAUUCUCUCCCCUGAUUCUGAAUGCUAGCUUGUAAAAGCUCCUCUUGAACAAAGCUCUGGCUAUGCCGAAUCUGUUA